UGCUCUUAAAGCUGGGGUCCGUAAGCAUGGACCAGGCAAAUGGCGGACGAUCCUCAAGGACCCAGUGUUUAGCGGAGUGUUGUACUCGCGUUCAAAUGUAGAUCUAAAGGACAAGUGGAGGAACAUGAGUGUGAUGGCCAACGGUUGUGGUUCUAGAGAGAAAGCAAGGUUGGCUCUCAAAAGAAUGAAUCAAGCCCGUAAACAGGAUGAGAGGUCUUUAUCUGUCUCCACUGAGGCUAUAAGUGACGAGGAAAUGACUGAAGCAAGGCUAGCUACUACUUCUAG
rnacentral:misc_RNA from 1 species